rnacentral:rRNA from 1 species
AUGACCACAAGAAGGCCACUCGAGCUACUUCAUAUGGAUCUUUUUGGUCCCAACGCCUACAAGAGUCUCGGUGGAAAUUCUUUUGGUCUAGUUAUAGUUGAUGAUUUUUCAAGAUUUACGUGGGUGUUCUUUCUUAAUGACAAGUCGCAGGUCCAGAAGAUCUUCAGAAACUUUGCUAGGAAGGCCCAAAAUCAGUUUGACAUGAAGAUCAAGAAGGUUCGGAGUGACAACGGAACGGAGUUCAAGAACGCAAAUGUGGACACCUUUCUUGACGAAGAAGGGAUUUCACACGAGUUCUCGGCUACGUACACACCUCAACAAAAUGGAGUUGUUCAGAGGAAGAACCGUACGCUCAUCGAAAUGGCAAGAACGAUGCUUGAUGAAUACAAGACGGCGAAGCACUUUUGGGCAGAAGCGGUUGAGACAGCUUGUCACGCAACAAAUCGCUUGUAUCUUCACAAGCUACUCGGCAAGACGGCAUACGAGCUCCUCACCGGUAACAAACCCCAAGUUGGAUACUUUCGAGUAUUCGGCUCAAAGCGCUACAUUCUUGAUAAGCAUCAUCGUUCAAUGUUUGCUCCUAAAUCUCAUGAAGGUUUUCUACUUGGUUAUGGCUCAAACUCUCACACUUACCGUGUCUACAACAAUUUCACCCGAAAGGUUGAAGAGACGGUAGAUGUGAAGUUUGAUGAAUCUAUUGGCUCGCAAGUAGAGCAAUUGCCAAUUGAUGUAGGAGACAAAGACCCUUCAGAAGCAAUCCAAGACCUGUCCAUUGGCAAAAUUCGUCCAACGGAGGUGAAGGAGAGUACUUCAUCCGUCCAAGUGGAAGCUUCUACUUCACGACAAGGUGAACCAAGAAUCGACACGGAAGCAUCCACAAGUGGGACACACCAAGAUGAAGAAAACGAGGAAAUACAUCAAGACGGACAUCAACAACCUCCUUCUCCACCACGAAAGGAGAAUGACAACGUCAACAAUGAAGAAGGCCAAGAAGAAGAACAAGAUGAAGAAGAUGUUCAACAAAGACCCAAGCAAAAGCUCUCAUGA